AUACCAUGAUGAGGACACCUCCACGAUCGUAUCUUUAAACCUCUCCCAAGCCUCAUGGAGAGAUUCAUUAUCUUGUUGGCGAAUUAUUGAUUUCUCCUCUCGGCCUUU